rnacentral:ncRNA from 1 species
AUUGUAGUGAUGAUAAAGUAGAGUAUCAUAAAUAGUUAGUUUAAGAGAGAAGACGGUGGUGGGAAGUCUUUACUAAAGUUUUUGAGAAGUGCGCUUUUGAGCUGAUACCUGAAAUUUAUAGUAGGGUUAUCCGGGAGUCGGCCGUUAUAAUGACAAAACAUGAAAGUGUUUAAAAGCUGAGGCAUUAUUGUCUAAUUAGAGUGGAACCGCGGGAUAUCUCGUCUCUUUA